CCACACAAAAUCUUUGAUCUGAUCAUAGAUCCGUUGCUUCAUCAGGGUGCUAGUGCCUUUAUAGAGGCUACCUCCUAGUGGUUGAUGCAGAUCUUCUCCAUCAUUUUCUCUUAGAUCCUCUUAGAGAUGAUGAAGAGUAAGAGGAGGGAGAGAAAGAAGAAGAGAUCCUCUAUCUCUUUUUUUCUUUAGAACCCACGCCAC
rnacentral:lncRNA from 1 species